rnacentral:lncRNA from 1 species
UUUGACUGAGAAAACACCUUUGGUUCAUUGAGGAUCGUCAACUCCAACUGUUUUCCAUGUGGUGAACACUUUAUUGCCUCAUUUGUUGGGUUUUCUUUCAAUUCAUCAAAAUGAAAAGGAAGAAAACACAUAAGCUCCAUGAGCACGUCAAUGGUAACCUGAUUCUUGACAUGACACUUAAAAGAUUCAUCAGCACAAAUAAAUUUAGAAGUUUUGGAAGUACCUCCGGUUUCUUGGCUAAUUGAUGAAGGCUGAGCUGUCUUUGGUAUAGCCGGUUUUGGUGGAUGGAUCAUAACUUCAUAAUUACAUGGCCAUUUCUCCUGGUUUCGGUCUUUAUAGAAAUCUGAGAGAUCAAUCUUGAAUCCUAUGAUCUGGUUUGGCUUAGGCCGCUUCUUUUUUGGGCCUGGAUCUCCUUUAGAAAUCUGGUACUCGUAGAUAGACGGACUGAAGGACCUCUAGUUUGGAAAAUUCAUAACUUCUUCCUCCCUGAAGAUUUUCAAGUGAUUCCAAGCCUCGCUGAAUCCUUAGUGAGUUGGCUUCCUAGGGAG